ensembl:lncRNA
AUGCGUUUAAGAGGUGGAUUGUCAGGUGUAUAUUUGUUGAGAGAAGAGAGUGCCAAGUGCAUUUGGAGAGAGGUCUGUUACUCAAAAUUAAGCAGGCUUUUUUUUCUUUUUAACUGCAGAAAUUCUCAUUGCCUGACCCCUGCAAAGAUAUUAAGAGAAACCUUGUUCCUUAUAGUUCUCACAAUUGGUCACUCUCCAUCUGUAAUAGGUUGAAUGGUUACUCUCAAAAACAUAUGUCCACAUUCUAAUGGGAGGAACCUAGGAGUGUGAUUUAAGCCUUAAAUCCAAUGACAAGUUUCCUUAUAAGAAAUAAAAGAGGAGAAAGCAAUGUGAAGAUGGAGACGGAGAUAAAAUGAUGCAGCCACAUGCAAGGGAAACUGGAACCACCAGAAGCUGGAAGAGGCAAGGAUAAAUUUUCCACGAGAAAAUUCAGAGGGAGCAUGUCCUAGCCAACAUCCUGUUUUCAGACUUAUACCCUCCAGAACGUCUAGAGUACCCUAUAGAACUUCCAGAGAACACAUUGCUGUUGUCAGAAGCAACCUAGUUAAUGGUAAUUUGUUACAACAGUCCUAGGAAUCUAAUAAACUCUUCCCUUUUCAGUUGCCCUCAUUUGUUAUUCUGAUGCCUCCUUAUGUGUUAUUUUCCCCAUAGUUUCCCGUAGUUCCUGCUCCUCUUACAUUACACUGUAACCUAGGAUUAACUUACCUACUUCAGACCACCACAGAUUUUUGUGAUCCAGGUCUUUAUUUCCUGUGCUCUAUAUCUAUUUAACUAACUUUCUGUUAGACACUGUAAACGUAUUAUCCUGUAGACUAUUGAAAAUACACCUCUCUCUCUCUCUCUUUCCUAUAAAACUGCUUUUGGAUGCCCCAUUUUCUGCCUGGUACCAUUUGGAGGGAACUUUAUAAUAAUUUCUGAUAUAAACUACUAAAUCCUAUCAGCUUCACAAGUCUUCAUUGAACAUAUUUUUUAGGACAGAAUUUAUUCCUCUAACUAUAUAACAAUUUAGAUACAUUGAAAUUAUCGAAAAAUGGAAAGAAAAACAAUGUACCUAUAACCUCACCAUCUAAGACCAUCACCAUUAACCACUGAAUGCACUUCAUGUCAGUCAUUUUGUUAUUCAAUUUUUCAUAUUAGUGAUCAGGGUGUAGAUAGUUUUACAUACCUAUAGAUUAAUGAGGACAUCUCACUUGUUUUCAGAAUUGUCAGUGUUGGUUUUAGGAUCUCUGAAACAUAAUUUCUCAUCUGUUACCAGUAAUCUCCUAACUGAAUUUUAAAGCAGUGCUUGCUCAUCAUCUUCACUUUGACUUGAACCAGAGCCCAGGCACUAAACCAGUUUUCCACCUUGUGUUCCUUCCAGUGGAGCCAUAAUCAUUAAAAUAGCGUGAGAUGACGUAGUCUCUUAUGACAGCUACUCUCCAUUGCCCAAACCUGCUGAAGAAUUAUCAUGUGCAAUUGUUUCUGGAAUGUCAUCAUUCAGUUUAGAUUUCACAGUUGAUGUGAAUAUGGGAGGAAUAAAUUACUCACGUACUGCCUAGCCUGAAGUUAGUUAGUUUCAUAAGCACAUGUAUGAUCACAAAGCCAGAGAAGGAAGUGUUCUGCCUUCAAUGACAAUGUCUUUUACUACUGGAUAUUUCAUUGUAGUUUUUAGAUUCCAAAGUGUCAAAAUGUUAAGCUUAAAGUUCCUAAUUGGGAGAUUAUAUCAGAAUAUUUCAUAAGACUUUUGAUAGAACAGUGGACUUUCUUCCUACAGUUUUCACUGAGGUCAGGUCUUAGAGCACAGGUUGCCUUUUCCAAAGCAGCAAGGGGUCAACGCUCUCAUGUAGCCUUUGUCCUCAUCACUUCCCACCCCUGCCAGCUCUCCUGACUCACCAAAUUUUACAACUGUUUUAAUCAUCGAUGUUGUGAAAGGUAUUAAUCUCAUCUCUAUUCUGCUCAAAAUGUGGGAAAAUCUUUUCUCAGUUCAUCAGCAACGAGAUUAGAUCUUUUCAAAAGAGGAGAUUAGAAAUCAGACAUAUAAAAGUUAGAAAUGGGUGCAUGCGUAAGUAUGGAUUAGUGACCCAAAGGCUUGUCUGAAGAUUGCCGCAACUUGAGUACACUCUGCACUCCUGGAGAGUUGCAUGUUGGUUAUCCAUGCAGCUCUACUUCUGGGAGUAUCCUGCCCAUCCAGAGCUCAUUCAUGACUCAGAGAGAUGUGGAAUCUCAUAACCUUCUCCCUAUGUCCUCUCACCAAGUUGGUUCUAGCUUUCGGGUCAUUGUAGGGUUGCCUCAAUUGCUCCCAAAUCAUUUGAGUGCUGGUCUUCCUGUUCCCUGGAAAAUCCCUGUGCCAUGGUCCUGUUCAGACAAUGUUUCCCAAAGAUGAUAGCUGCCAAGAUGCCCCAAGGUGAGUGCCCAGUGUUACCU